rnacentral:lncRNA from 1 species
AUUAAGCAUAGAAACAUACAAAUUAAAUCACAGAAACUGUACAGAUAUAAAUUCACAUAUCACAGACACAGAAAAUAAUAUUAAAAUAUUUUUUUAGACUCGAAUUUGUGGUCCCAAAACCACUAUUCCGACUAGGGUCAAAACCGGACAGUUACAAUUCUCCCCCCUUAGGGAUUUUCGUCUCCGAAAUUCUUACCGUUAAACAGAUUCGAAUAUUGUUGUUUCAUUGCAUCUUCAGGCUCCCAUGUAGCCUCUUCUACUCCAUGUCUAUGCCACAGUACUUUGACUAACGAAAUUAUUUUAUUACGUAAUUC